GCACCCGAUCUUUCCCAUUCCUGCUGCUUCGUGCUGGUCUGGGGACAGAUGGUGCUACACUAUGAGCAGAGGAUAUCCAGACGGGUUGUUUUCCAUUUGUCUUGGGACCUGUCUCUACAACUCUGCCACAUUU
rnacentral:snoRNA from 17 species